rnacentral:miRNA from 1 species
GGGAAGUGUUGUCUGGCUCGA